rnacentral:rRNA from 1 species
UACGUAGGGUGCAAGCGUUAAUCGGAAUUACUGGGCGUAAAGCGUGCGCAGGCGGCUAUGCAAGACAGAUGUGAAAUCCCCGGGCUCAACCUGGGAACUGCAUUUGUGACUGCAUGGCUAGAGUACGGUAGAGGGGGAUGGAAUUCCGCGUGUAGCAGUGAAAUGCGUAGAUAUGCGGAGGAACACCGAUGGCGAAGGCAGUCCCCUGGGCCUGUACUGACGCUCAUGCACGAAAGCGUGGGGAGCAAACAGG